CCUACGGGUGGCUGCAGUGGGGAAUAUUGGACAAUGGGGGGAGCCCUGAUCCAGCCAUGCCGCGUGUGUGAAGAAGGCCCUCGGGUUGUAAAGCACUUUCAGUGAGGAAGAACGCCUGGUGGUUAAUACCCAUCAGGAAAGACAUCACUCACAGAAGAAGCACCGGCUAACUCCGUGCCAGCAGCCGCGGUAAUACGGAGGGUGCGAGCGUUAAUCGGAAUUACUGGGCGUAAAGCGCGCGUAGGUGGCUUGAUAAGCCGGUUGUGAAAGCCCCGGGCUCAACCUGGGAACGGCAUCCGGAACUGUCAAGCUAGAGUGCAGGAGAGGAAGGUAGAAUUCCCGGUGUAGCGGUGAAAUGCGUAGAGAUCGGGAGGAAUACCAGUGGCGAAGGCGGCCUUCUGGACUGACACUGACACUGAGGUGCGAAAGCGUGGGUAGCAAACAGGAUUAGAUACCCGAGUAGUC
rnacentral:rRNA from 1 species